CCUGGAGCGGAAUUCGUGAGACCUGUAAUCACACAGUGGACUCAGACUGAACCUGAAAAAAUAAAUCCUUGGAUACAAUCUGUAACGGACACAAUCAUACGCUGGACUCAGGCUGAAUCUCCAGUGGUAAAUUCCUGGGCAGAGGCUGUUGCAGAUACAGCAAUACCAUUGAAUCAGAUUGAAUAUCCUUCAGUAAAUCCCUGGGCAACACUUGCAACUGAUACUGUUACACUCUGGACCCAGGCAAAUUCUUCUGUCAUCAAUCUUUUGACACAGUCCAUCAUGGUCUCACGAAUUCCGCU
rnacentral:sRNA from 1 species